AAUGAACGUUGGCGGCGUGGAUUAGGCAUGCAAGUCGAGCGAGAACCCGCAAGGGGGACAGCGGCAAACGGGGUAGGAAUGAUUGGUGACGUACCCUCGGGACGGGGAUAGCCACGGGAAACUGUGGGUAAUACCCGAUAAUCUCCCAGGUUUGAAGACCUGGGUGCAAAGGUGUGAUUCCACCGGAGGAGCGGCCAAUCUGGUAUUAGCUAGUUGGUAGGGUAACGGCCUACCAAGGCUACGAUGCCUAGGGGGUGUGAGAGCAUGGCCCCCACCACUGGGACUGAGAUACUGCCCAGACACCUACGGGUGGCUGCAGUCGAGAAUCUUCGGCAAUGGGCGAAAGCCUGACCGAGCGACGCCGCGUGCGGGAUGAAGGCCUUCGGGUUGUAAACCGCUGUCAGAGGGGAUGAAGUUAUAGGAGGUUCUCCUUCUAUAUUGACAGAGCCUCAGAGGAAGCACGGGCUAAGUAUGUGCCAGCCGCCGCAGAAA
rnacentral:rRNA from 1 species